rnacentral:rRNA from 1 species
UGGGGAAUAUUGCACAAUGGGCGAAAGCCUGGUGCAGCAACGCCGCGUGAGUGAUGAAGGCCUUCGGGUUGUAAAGCUCUGUCUUUUGGGACGAUAAUGACGGUACCAAAGGAGGAAGCCACGGCUAACUACGUGCCAGUAGCCGCGGUAAUACGUAGGUGGCAAGCGUUGUCCGGAUUUACUGGGCGUAAAGGAUGCGUAGGCGGAUUUUUAAGUGAGAUGUGAAAACCCUAAGCUUAACUUGGGGACUGCAUUUCAUACUGGAAAUCUAGAGUGCGGGAGAGGAGAAUGGAAUUCCUAGUGUAGCGGUGAAAUGCGUAGAGAUUAGGAAGAACACCAGUGGCGAAGGCGAUUCUCUGGACCGUAACUGACGCUGAGGCAUGAAAAGCGUGGGUAGCAAAACAGGAUUAGAUACCCUGAUAGUCCACGCCGUAAACGAUGAGUACUAGGUGUAGGAGGUAUCGACCCCUUCUGUGCCGCAGUUAACACAAUAAGUACUCCGCCUGGGAAGUACGAUCGCAAGAUUAAAAACUUAAAUGAAUUGACGGGGGUCAUAGCUG